rnacentral:rRNA from 1 species
UGGUUGAUGCCAUGCUUCCAAGAAAAGCUUCUAAGCUUCAGGUAACCAGGAACCGUACCCCAAACCGACACAGGUGGUUGGGUAGAGAAUACCAAGGCGCUUGAGAGAACUCGGGUGAAGGAACUAGGCAAAAUGGCACCGUAACUUCGGGAGAAGGUGCGCCGGUGAGGGUGAAGCAUUUACUGCGUAAGCCCAUGCCGGUCGAAGAUACCAGGCCGCUGCGACUGUUUAUUAAAAACACAGCACUCUGCAAACACGAAAGUGGACGUAUAGGGUGUGACGCCUGCCCGGUGCCGGAAGGUUAAUUGAUGGGGUUAGCUAACGCGAAGCUCUUGAUCGAAGCCCCGGUAAACGGCGGCCGUAACUA